rnacentral:rRNA from 1 species
AAAUGAAUUGACGGGGCCCGCACAAGCGGAGGAACAUGUGGUUUAAUUCGAUGAUACGCGAGGAACCUUACCUGGGCUUAAAUGUAGAGUGCAUUUUUAGAGAUAGAAAUUCCCUUCGGGGCUUUCUGCAAGGUGCUGCAUGGUUGUCGUCAGCUCGUGCCGUGAGGUGUCGGGUUAAGUCCCAUAACGAGCGCAACCCUUAUCGUUAGUUGCCAGCGGGUAAUGCCGGGAACUCUAACGAAACUGCCGGUGUAAACCGAGAGGAAGGUGGGGAUGACGUCAAAUCAGCACGGCCCUUAUGUCCAGGGCUACACACGUGUUACAAUGGCCGGUACAGAGGGCAGCUACCUGGAGACAGGAUGCGAACCUCGAAAGCCGGUCUCAGUUCGGAUCGGAGUCUGCAACUCGACUCCGUGAAGCUGGAUUCGCUAGUAAUCGCGCAUCAGCCAUGGCGCGGUGAAUACGUUCCCGGGCCUU